rnacentral:rRNA from 1 species
UACGGAAGGCAGCAGUGGGGAAUAUUGCACAAUGGGCGAAAGCCUGAUGCAGCUAUGCCGCGUGUAUGAAGAAGGCCUUAGGGUUGUAAAGUACUUUCAUCGGGGAGGAAAAAACAAAACUAAUAAUUUUAUUUCUUGACGUUACCCGAAAAAGAAGCACCGGCUAACUCCGUGCCAGCAGCCGCGGUAAUACGGAGGGUGCUAGCGUUAAUCAGAAUUACUGGGCGUAAAGAGCACGUAGGUGGUUUUUUUAAGUCAGAUGUGAAAUCCCUGGGCUUAACCUGGAACUGCAUUUUGAAACUGAAAUACUAGAGUAUCGUAGAGGGAGGUAGAAUUCUAGGUGUAGCGGUGAAAUGCGUAGAUAUCUGGAGGAAUACCUGUGGCGAAAGCGGCCUCUAAACGAAUACUGACACUGAGGUGCGAAAGCGUGGGGAGCAACAGGGAUUAGAUACCCGU